AAAUAUACUGGAAUAUUUUCUGAGAAAUAGCCAGAUUACAGCAGAAGACGGUGCUGAGAUCACCUGGUAUCAUGCAGCUAACCACAAGGCACAAACAAAUGAGGCACUGAAAAAAGUUUGGCCAUAGGGUGAAAGAACAACUUCUCUGUAUCUGCCCUCCCCCUGGCGAGAUAAGCCACACAAACAUCAGGACUCAGCACUAUUCACAUGGUUGAAGAAUUCCACCUUUGGCAGAGGGCUGGAAGCUGUUUGGAUAGUACCUGGACAUUGC
rnacentral:lncRNA from 1 species